AGCUCCAAUAGCGUAUAUUAAAGUUGUUGCAGUUAAAAAGCUCGUAGUUGGAUCUCGGAUCCGGGCGAGCGGUCCGCCUCGCGGCGGUCCACCGCUCGACGGCGUCUGUGUCUGGGUCGGUCUCUUCGCGGGGACGCGGAUCGGCAGGCGUCUCUUCCCGGUCUCUCAGCCCUCUGGACGCCCGUCGGUGCUCUUCGCUGCAGUGCCGGCGGCGGCCAGGACGUUUACUUUGAAAAAAUUAGAGUGUUCCAAGCAGGCGCGUUCCGCCCGAAUAAUGGUGCAUGGAAUAAUGGAAUAGGACCUCGGUUCUAUUUUGUUGGUUUUCGGAACUCGAGGUAAUGAUUAAGAGGGACGGACGGGGGCAUUCGUAUUGCGGUGUUAGAGGUGAAAUUCUUGGAUCGCCGCAAGACGAACUACUGCGAAAGCAUUUGCCAAGAAUGUUUUCAUUA
rnacentral:rRNA from 1 species